CAUUUUGACGUUAGCUGCAGAAGAAGCACCGGCUAACUCCGUGCCAGCAGCCGCGGUAAUACGGAGGGUGCGAGCGUUAAUCGGAAUUACUGGGCGUAAAAGCGCAUGCAGGUGGUUUGUUAAGUCAGAUGUGAAAAGCCCGGGGCUCAACCUCGGAAUUGCAUUUGAAACUGGCAAACUAGAGUACUGUAGAGGGGGUAGAAUUUCAGGUGUAGCGGUGAAAUGCGUAGAGAUCUGAAGGAAUACCGGUGGCGAAGGCGGCCCCCUGGACAGAUACUGACACUCAGAUUGCGAAAGCGUGGGGAGCAAACAGGAUUAGAUACCCUGGUAG
rnacentral:rRNA from 1 species